UUCCAGAGGGCUCCUUUUGAGCUGGUGGAAGCAGCAGCACUUCCUCUUCCUCCCCAAAGACGGAUUCGCUUCAUCCCUGCCUAUCUGACAGCUGAAGAACAGCAAAGGGCGGGCUGUCCUGGUUUUGCUUUCACUGCUCACGGAAGAUUUUGUAAACAAAGAAGCAUGAUGCUAUCAGGCCCAGGAGUUGGCCAGGAAAGGAUUCAAUGCAGACAGGACCACUCAGAAAAACAGUUUUUGAGAUUAACCAUCAGUCUUCAGGAUGCUGGCAGGAGCUGAUGUGGGUGGCAUGAAGGAUGGAAGAUGGAGAAGCAGCACUCCCACACAUCGCUGGGGGACAGGCACCACCCAGCAGCGCUGCCUUCUUAUCCUCCAGCCUUGUCUCUGCUGGGUACUCUGCAGACUCAGCUGUUGGCAUCACACAUGAACCUUCCUCUCAGGAAGCAACUGCUGAAAUGAAUGGGCCCAGCCUAGGGAUCUGAUGCAGUUGUGUCCUCAUCUUGAUCAAGGCGCCAAACCCUCCUGAACCCAGGUUCCUUGUAACAAUACGCAAGACAAUGAAGGCGGAAUCCUCUUCUUGUUCUAACAUUGCACUAUAGCCACUGGCCACAUGGGGCUGGUCUGAAUUGAGAUGUACUGCAAGUACAAAUAAAAUACACACCGCAUUUCAAAGACUUCCCUGAAAUACUAAUGUAAAUUAUCUCAUUAAUAAUUUU